AGCAGCCGCGGUAAUUCCAGCUCCAAUAGCGUAUAUUAAAGUUGUUGCAGUUAAAAAGCUCGUAGUUGAAUUUUGGAUUCUUCCAAUUGGUCCAUCUUUUAGAUGAGUACUGGUUGUGUGGGGUCUAUCCGCCUGGUGAUACGUAAUGUCCUUUAUUGGAUGUUGCGGGUAGUCAGGACCUUUACCUUGAAAAAAUUAGAGCGUUUAAAGCAGGCUUAUGCCGGAAUACAUUAGCAUGGAAUAAUAGAAUAGGACGAAGUUGUUUUAUUUUGUUGGUUUCUAGGACAACCGUAAUGAUUAAUAGGGAUAGUUGGGGGCAUUAGUAUUCAAUUGUCAGAGGUGAAAUUCUUGGAUUUAUUGAAGACUAACUACUGCGAAAGCAUUUUGCCAAGGAUGUUUUUCAUUAAUCAAGAACGAAAGUUAGGGGAUCGAAGACGAUCAGAUACCGUCGUAGUCUUAACCAUAAACUAUGCCGACUAGGGAUCGGGCGAUGUUGUUUCCAUGACUCGCUCGGCACCUU
rnacentral:rRNA from 1 species